rnacentral:rRNA from 1 species
CGGGUGAGUAACGCGUGGGUAACCUGCCUCAUACAGGGGGAUAGCAGCUGGAAACGGCUGGUAAUACCGCAUAAGCGCACGGUAUCGCAUGAUACAGUGUGAAAAACUCCGGUGGUAUGAGAUGGACCCGCGUCUGAUUAGCUGGUUGGUGAGGUAACGGCCCACCAAGGCGACGAUCAGUAGCCGACCUGAGAGGGUGACCGGCCACAUUGGGACUGAGACACGGUCCAA